rnacentral:rRNA from 1 species
GACAGAGGGGGCAAGAGUUGUCCGGAGUUACUGGGCGUAAAGGGCGCGGAGGCGGUCUGCGGCGUCGGCGCUGAAAGCGCCACGCUUAACGGGGCGAGGCGUGCCGAUACGCGCAGACUUGAGGCGAGCAGAGGGUGGUGGAAUUCCGGGUGGAGCGGUGAAAUGCGUAGAGAUCCGGAGGAACGCCAGUGGGGAAGCCGGCCACCUGGGCUCGUCCUGACGCUGCGGCGCGACCGCGUGGGGAGCAAACCGG